rnacentral:rRNA from 1 species
CUUAUUGACGUCUGGUAUGAUGAAUUUUGGGUAGAAACUGUCUUAAUAUAUUUUUUAUAAUUUAAUAUGCAAGUGAAAAUACUUGCUUUAAUAUAAAAGACGAGAAGACCCUAGAAACUUAUAUUAUUUUUGUUGGGGCGACAGGAUUACAGUUAACUAGUCUUACUUAACGUGACGUUUAACAGUUAGAAAAAGUUACUCUAGGGAUAACAGCAA